rnacentral:rRNA from 1 species
UCNGUAGGUGAACNUGGGGANGNAUNAUNGUCGANUCCCGCCUAGCAAACGACCGCGAACAAGUUAUUAAAACACGGGUUCCGUGCAGGCUUGGGAAACUUCGCCCGUCGGAACCCGCCCAAAACUUAACUCUCGGCGCGGAAUGCGUCAAGGACCACUCAAAAUGGAUUGCCUGCUCUCUUGCGGAUUCCGCAGGGUGUGCUUGGCGCCUGAUCGCUAAACAGAAAGACUCUCGACAACGGAUAUCUAGGCUCUCGCAUCGAUGAAGAACGUAGCGAAAUGCGAUACUUGGUGUGAAUUGCAGAAUCCCGUGAACCAUCGAGUUUUUGAACGCAAGUUGCGCCCGAAGCCAUUAGGCUGAGGGCACGUCUGCCUGGGCGUCACGCAUCUAGUCGUCGCUCUCUCACAAUGUAACGGGGAAGUGACGGAUGUUGGUCUCUCGUGUCCUCGAGCCGCGAUUGGCCUAAAUUUGAGUNCUUGGCAUGNGUCGUCACGGCAAGUGGUGGUCGAACACUUCAAUUCGUACGCUGUCGUGAUCACGCAUGUUGUAGACUCAAUCGACCCUAGAGCCCUCGAACCAAAAUUGAGUUCAGGGCCUUCGACUGCGACCCCAGGUCAGGCGGGAUUACCCGCUGAGUU